rnacentral:rRNA from 1 species
UACGUAGGGGGCAAGCGUUGUCCGGAUUUAUUGGGCGUAAAGAGCGUGUAGGCGGCCUGAAAGGUCAGCUGUGAAAACUCGAGGCUCAACCUCGAGACGUCGGUUGAAACCAUCUGGCUAGAGUCCGGAAGAGGAGUGUGGAAUUCCCGGUGUAGCGGUGAAAUGCGCAGAUAUCGGGAAGAACACCCGUGGCGAAGGCGGCACUCUGGGACGGUAUUGACGCUGAGACGCGAAAGCGUGGGGAGCGAACAGG